rnacentral:rRNA from 1 species
GGAAUCUUAGACAAUGGGGGCAACCCUGAUCUAGCCAUGCCGCGUGAGUGACGAAGGCCCUAGGGUCGUAAAGCUCUUUCGCCAGGGAUGAUAAUGACAGUACCUAGUAAAGACACCCCGGCUAAACCCGUGCCAGCAGCCGCGGUAAUACGGAGGGGGUUAGCGUUGUUCGGAAUUACUGGGCGUAAAGCGCGCGUAGGCGGGCGGUUAAGUCGGGGGUGAAAUCCCAGGGCUCAACCCUGGAACGGCCCUCGAUACUGGCAGCCUAGAGUUCGAGAGAGGUGAGUGGAAUUCCGAGUGUAGAGGUGAAAUUCGUAGAUAUUCGGAGGAACACCAGUGGCGAAGGCGGCUCACUGGCUCGAUACUGACGCUGAGGUGCGAAAGCGUGGGGAGCA